rnacentral:lncRNA from 1 species
UAGUUCCUUGGUCUGAUAGAAUGAGUGUACAUCGACCUCUUCUGGAUGUAAAUCUUCUCAAAGCCGCCAUAAAGGCCUCUGUGGAGAGAUCUGAAACCAAUUCUAAGUGUAUGGCUUUUGUAGACGUACACACAAAUACAGAAAUAUAAGAUUUGAUACACCUCGCUCCUCUACAUCGACUGAUUGUGGUAUAAAGGGGUCCUGCGAAGUCCACAGCUACCUUGGAAAAAGCCUUAGCUUCAGCUACUCGAAAUGCUGGCAGGUCCGCCAUCAAUGGUGCAUAUGAACGAGGCUUGCAUUUUACGCAACGGAUACAUCUGGAUACAACACGAUGUACUAAACUUCUCGAUCCAAGAAUCCAAUAUUGUUGCAUCACCAGCGAUUUUCACUGACCCGAUUAGUUUUUGGUAACAACACUGGGUGUUUAUGAUCAAAUGGUAUCACUGCAUAUUUUAAACGCCCGCCCACCCUAAUUAAACCCUCUCUAUCAAUGAACGGAGCCAAUUUUCGAAGAGGUUUAGGGGGUAAUUGGUUAUUUUUUAUGGAAAUGAACAGUGACGAAAAGUGUUGAUUCUGAACGUGGCGGAGCAUAGUGGUUAAAGCCUGCUGAACUUCAAACAAAGAUAAGUUUAUACCAGAACAUCCCUUUUGCCUUUGACAUAGAUUUAGGAAUCUUUGAAUGUAUGCUAGGAUACGUAGAAUUUUUGAUAGUGAGGAAAAUUUAUUCAAAAGAAUAUCAAUGAUAUUAGUUUUAAUUUCAGUAGUUUGAACGAAUUUCUGUUAUUGUUCACGUAGAAUAUCUUCUGUUUCAGGAAUUUUAUUGAUAGAUGGCCAAUAUUCUGGGGAUUUAUUAAGCCAUGAGGGACCUUUCCACCACAAUUCUGUGGCAAUUAGUUGAUCUGGGAACAUGCCUCUAGAUCCGCAGUCAGCGGGAUUAGAGGACGAGGGAAUGUAUCUCCAAGAAGUUGACGGCAGAAUGUUAUUUAUAUGAGACACACGAUUGGCGACGAAAACCUUCCAACGACUUGGGGUGGAAGCAAUCCACGCCAAGGUGACUUGCGAAUCCGACCAGGCGGUAAUUGAUUUAAAUUCUAUAAGUGGAGACAAUGUUUCCUUAAUAUUUUGCAACAUGUCUGCAAGAAGAACUGCGCCACACAAUUCCAAACGAGGAAUUGAAAUCGUCUUCAGAGGUGCGACACGAGCUUUAGCACAUAUGAAAGAUGUGGUUAUGGAGGUGUCAGUUUUAGAGCGUAAAUAGGCAACUGUGCAAUACCCCUGUUGAGAAGCGUCGCAGAAUAAAUGAAGUUGCACCGAUUGAGUUUUAAUUGGAAUCAUUAAUCGAGUUACAUGGAGCGGAAGAGUUUCAUCCCAAGAUAUUUUUAGUUGCCAUAUCUGCUGCAUGUAAAUUUUUGCUUUGAGGGUACAUGGAAUAAGAAACCCUAGGGGAUCGUAUAUUCGAGCGAUCUCUGAUAAUAUAGAUCUUUUGGUACAAGGCGCCUGACGAGAGGAGAAAGAGUACUGGAAUUGAUCGGAGGUAGGAUUCCAUUGUAAUCCAAGCACUUUUACGCAAUGAGUGUCAUCAUAAUCCAAGGAUAUUGGCAUUGAAAGAUCAAUCAAUUCUUGCUGUACUUUCAAAGCUUCAUUUAUCGAUUGGGCUCCUGCAACGAUGUCAUCCACAGACACAUGGUUGCGUAAAACCGUAGCUGCUCUAGGAUAGUAAUUCUCAUAUUUGUUGGCCAAUUCCAAUAAGGUCCGUAAAGCCAGAAAAGGUGCCGACGCUACGCCAUACGUUACUGUGUUUAAACAAUAUUCCUCUAUCGGUUCUGCAGGAGAGAACCGCCAUAAGAUCUUCUGAAACGGCCGAUCAGAAGGGGAUAUAAAAAUUUGCCGAUACAUCUGCUUAAUAUCGCAGAUGAAUGCAUAGUUGAAACAUCUAAAUGACAUUAAGAUUUUUACGAUAUCCUGCUGAAGCUU